rnacentral:sRNA from 1 species
GCCCGCGCCUGGGCUGCGCCGCGCUUCGCAACGUGUCCGGCGCGCAGUACAUGGGCUCAGGCUACACCAAGGCCGUGUACCGGGUCCGCCUGCCCGGCGGCGCCGCGGUGGCGCUCAAGGCGGUGGACUUUAGCGGCCACGAUCUGGGCAGCUGCGUGCGCGAGUUCGGGGUACGGAGGGGCUGCUAUCGGCUGGCGGCCCACAAGCUGCUUAAGGAGAUGGUGCUGCUGGAGCGGCUGCGGCACCCCAACGUGCUGCAGCUCUAUGGCUACUGCUACCAGGACAGCGAGGACAUCCCAGACACCCUGACCACCAUCACGGAGCUGGGCGCCCCUGUAGAAAUGAUCCAGCUGCUGCAAACUUCCUGGGAGGAUCGAUUCCGAGUGAGCUCAGAGGAGGGCUCGGGCCCUGGGCUCCUUGCAAGGAUGGUUCUGCCUUAGAAGGCCAGCCCUCCAAAGCAGCUCCCACUCCUCCUCCACCCAGGGAGAGGGAGGGAGGAAGGCGCACAGGCUGACUCAGCCACCGGCCAAAGGGUUCAAAAAAGAAGCAAGACUUAAAGGAU